AUUGACCGCUGGCGGCAUGCCUUACACAUGCAAGUCGAACGGUAACAGGUUAAGCUGACGAGUGGCGAACGGGUGAGUAAUGUAUCGGAACGUGCCCAGUCGUGGGGGAUAACUGCUCGAAAGAGCAGCUAAUACCGCAUACGACCUGAGGGUGAAAGCGGGGGAUCGCAAGGCCUCGCGCGAUUGGAGCGGCCGAUAUCAGAUUAGGUAGUUGGUGAGGUAAAGGCUCACCAAGCCGACGAUCUGUAGCUGGUCUGAGAGGACGACCAGCCACACUGGGACUGAGACACGGCCCAGACUCCUACGGGAGGCAGCAGUGGGGAAUUUUGGACAAUGGGCGCAAGCCUGAUCCAGCCAUGCCGCGUGCGGGAAGAAGGCCUUCGGGUUGUAAACCGCUUUUGUCAGGGAAGAAAAGGUUCUGGCUAAUACCUGGGACUCAUGACGGUACCUGAAGAAUAAGCACCGGCUAACUACGUGCCAGCCGCCGCGGUAACAC
rnacentral:rRNA from 1 species